UACGUAGGGUGCGAGCGUUGUCCGGAAUUAUUGGGCGUAAAGCGCACGUAGGCGGCUUGUCGCGUCGACUGUGAAAUCCCGCGGCUCAACUGCGGGUCUGCAGUCGAUACGGGCAGGCUAGAGUUCGGUAGGGGAGACUGGAAUUCCUGGUGUAGCGGUGAAAUGCGCAGAUAUCAGGAGGAACACCGAUGGCGAAGGCAGGUCUCUGGGCCGAUACUGACGCUGAGGAGCGAAAGCGUGGGGAGCGAAACAGG
rnacentral:rRNA from 1 species